UGGUCACUGAGGACCCUAAGUCUUACAUGAGU
rnacentral:piRNA from 1 species